GCAAACUUGGUCAUUUAGAGGAAGUAAAAGUCGUAACAAGGUUUCCGUAGGUGAACCUGCGGAAGGAUCAUUAAAAAGUUGUUCGAAGCGGUCUCAGGCACUGCCAGGUGACCGCUUAGACAUCAACACCCUCUGUAUAUCUACCGCGUUGCUUUGGCGAGCCUCGGGGUCAUACUCGUGCCGGUUCGCCGGCGAGCGUUCGUCAAAAGCCACCUCUAAAAUUCUUUAUUUCGUAAAGUCAGAGUCUUAGAAAAGAAGUGAAAAACUUUCAACAACGGAUCUCUUGGUUCUGGCAUCGAUGAAGAACGCAGC
rnacentral:misc_RNA from 1 species